AAUGAACGUUGGCGGCAUGGAUUAGGCAUGCAAGUCGGGGGAAUCCCAGCAAUGGGGGAACCGGCGUAAGGGGCAGUAAGGCAUGGGUACCUACCUUGGGGUUCGGGAUAGCCAUCAGAGAUGGUGGGUAAUACCGGAUGACGUCGUGAGACCAAAGAUUUAUCGCCCUUAGAGGGGCCCAUGUGAUAUUAGCUAGUUGGUGGGGUAACGGCCCACCAAGGCGAAGAUGUCUAGCGGGCGUGAGAGCACGACCCGCGCCACUCGCACUGAGACACUGGCGAGACACCUACGGGUGGCUGCAGUCGAGGAUCUUCGGCAAUGAGCGCAAGCUUGACCGAGCGAUGCCGCGUGAGCGAUGAAGGCCUUCGGGUUGUGAAGCUCUUUAGUGGGGGAGAAAAGCCGCAAGGUGUGAUCUAUCCCAAAAAUAAGCACGGGCUAAGUUCGUGCCAGCCGCCGCAGUAA
rnacentral:rRNA from 1 species